AUUGAACGCUGGCGGCAUGCCUUACACAUGCAAGUCGAACGGCAGCAUGGAGAGCUUGCUCUCUGAUGGCGAGUGGCGAACGGGUGAGUAAAGCAUCGGAACGUACCGUGUAGUGGGGGAUAACGUAGCGAAAGUUACGCUAAUACCGCAUACGCACUGAGGUGGAAAGCAGGGGAUCGUAAGACCUUGCGCUAUACGAGCGGCCGAUGGCAGAUUAGCUAGUUGGUAGGGUAAAGGCCUACCAAGGCGACGAUCUGUAGCGGGUCUGAGAGGAUUAUCCGCCACACUGGGACUGAGACACGGCCCAGACUCCUACGGGAGGCAGCAGUGGGGAAUUUUGGACAAUGGGGGCAACCCUGAUCCAGCCAUGCCGCGUGAGUGAAGAAGGCCUUCGGGUUGUAAAGCUCUUUCGGCCGGGAAGAAAUCGCACAGGCUAAUACCCUGUGUGGAUGACGGUACCGGCAUAAGAAGCACCGGCUAACUACGUGCCAGCCGCCGCAGUAA
rnacentral:rRNA from 1 species